rnacentral:lncRNA from 10 species
AGCUGUGCCACCUGCUGGCUCAGGCCAGUGGGAUUGUGCCUCAGGCAGGCUCCUGCCCUUCCAAGCCAAGGGCUUGGCUGCAGACCCGACAGCGGCUCCCAGAGAAUGCUGGAAGCCAAGCUUGCACAUUCUAGGCAGCCAUUUGGAAGAUUCUUCUCUGCGCAUGACCAGCUGAAAAGGAAAAACCCCGAAACAUUGGCACUGUGAUUUCUCCAUGUGAACAGUUUAGUUCGCCGAGGUGGACAUGCCUCAUUCAUGCUUAUGGAGUGACCGACCAGCCUUUAGUGACACCCCCUGAAAUGUGAGUCAUCCAUGGGUCACUAGUCAUUGGAGAAGAGCCCCUUAUACAAAACUUGGAGCUCAGACCACAAACAACAACAACAAUCCAAAAAAUAAAAAAAUGAAAAAUUAGGAGCAGAGACUAAAUGGAAAGAUG